rnacentral:lncRNA from 1 species
AUACUGCAGUUAAAGAUUUAAAGGUUUAUUAACAUUUCUAUUUUUUUUUUAGUUGCACAGGAUCUCACCCAGACUAUCCUUGAACUCACUAUGCAGGUAAGACCACAUGUUCACAUGACCAGGAAUUAGGCCAGGGUCAUCUGUGGUUGGUGGCAAGAGAAUGUUUUCCUGCUGAUCACAAGUGUGAGUGUUGUCAUUUUUGCUGAAAUCCAUGUCCUCAGACCCCAGCAGCACUUAGCAUGAGAAGAUACAUGCUCAAUGAAUGAAAAUAUCAAGAAUAUACACAAAAAUGUAUGCUUCUAGCGAG